UGGUACUGAAAAUACAUGAUGCUUGCUUGGU
rnacentral:piRNA from 1 species